rnacentral:rRNA from 1 species
UGGGGAAUUUUGGACAAUGGGCGAAAGCCUGAUCCAGCAAUGCCGCGUGUGUGAAGAAGGCCUUCGGGUUGUAAAGCACUUUUGUCCGGAAAGAAAUCCUUGGCUCUAAUACAGUCGGGGGAUGACGGUACCGGAAGAAUAAGCACCGGCUAACUACGUGCCAGCAGCCGCGGUAAUACGUAGGGUGCAAGCGUUAAUCGGAAUUACUGGGCGUAAAGCGUGCGCAGGCGGUUUGCUAAGACCGAUGUGAAAUCCCCGGGCUCAACCUGGGAACUGCAUUGGUGACUGGCAGGCUAGAGUAUGGCAGAGGGGGGUAGAAUUCCACGUGUAGCAGUGAAAUGCGUAGAGAUGUGGAGGAAUACCGAUGGCGAAGGCAGCCCCCUGGGCCAAUACUGACGCUCAUGCACGAAAGCGUGGGGAGCAAACAGGAUUAGAUACCCUGGUAGUCCACGCCCUAAACGAUGUCGACUAGUUGUUGGGGAUUCAUUUCCUUAGUAACGUAGCUAACGCGUGAAGUUGACCGCCUGGGGGAGUACGGUCGCAAGAUUAAAACUCAAAGGAAUUGACGGGGUCAUAGCUGUUUCCU